CAGCACCUCAAGUGGUCAGGAUGAUUAUUGGGCCUAAAGCAUCCGUAGCCUGCUUUGUAAGUUUUCGGUUAAAUCCAUACGCUUAACGUAUGGGCUGCCGGGAAUACUGCAAAGCUAGGGAGUGGGAGAGGUAGACGGUACUCAGUAGGAAGGGGUAAAAUCCUUUGAUCUAUUGAUGACCACCUGUGGCGAAGGCGGUCUACCAGAACACGUCCGACGGUGAGGGAUGAAAGCUGGGGGAGCAAACCGGAUUAGAUACCCGGGUAGUCCCAGCUGUAAACUAUGCAAACUCGGUGAUGCAUUGGCUUGAUGCCCAAUGCAGUGCCGCAGGGAAGCCGUUAAGUUUGCCGCCUGGGAAGUACGUACGCAAGUAUG
rnacentral:rRNA from 1 species